rnacentral:lncRNA from 1 species
CCUUGUACCAUUUUGAUUAUUAUUAAUAAACUAGUAGAGGUCCAUGCCAAAUCCUCGACUAUUACAAGAUGAUUUUUUAUUUUUACAAUAAAAAUCCAACAUCUAUAUUUAAUUUUGCUCCUUGAUACUUUUUUAAUUUGUAAAGAAAAUCAUAUUUUUUAAAUUCAAAAAAAAGACCAACCCAGCAUGUGGGCUGUGCCAUGCUUGGAU